rnacentral:rRNA from 1 species
GAUGAACGCUGGCGGCGUGCCUAAUACAUGCAAGUCGAACGAAACUUCUUUAUCACCGAGUGCUUGCACUCACCGAUAAAGAGUUGAGUGGCGAACGGGUGAGUAACACGUGGGCAACCUGCCCAAAAGAGGGGGAUAACACUUGGAAACAGGUGCUAAUACCGCAUAACCAUAGUUACCGCAUGGUAACUAUGUAAAAGGUGGCUAUACUACCGCUUUUGGAUGGGCCCGCGGCGCAUUAGCUAGUUGGUAGGGUAAAGGCUUACCAAGGCAAUGAUGCGUAGCCGAAUUGAGAGAUUGAUCGGCCACAUUGGGACUGAGACACGGACAAAACUCCUACGGGAGGCAGCAGUAGGGAAUCUUCCACAAUGGGCGAAAGCCUGAUGGAGCAACGCCGCGUGGGUGAAGAAGGUCUUCGGAUCGUAAAACCCUGUUGUUAGAGAAGAAAGUGCGUGAGAGUAACUGUUCACGUUUCGACGGUAUCUAACCAGAAAGCCACGGCUAACUACGUG